rnacentral:rRNA from 1 species
AUGACGAACGCUGGCGGCGUGCUUAACACAUGCAAGUCGAACGAAGAGCGAUGGAAGCUUGCUUCUAUCAAUCUUAGUGGCGAACGGGUGAGUAACGCGUAAUCAACCUGCCCUUCAGAGGGGGACAACAGUUGGAAACGACUGCUAAUACCGCAUACGAUCUAACCUCGGCAUCGAGGAUAGAUGAAAGGUGGCCUCUACAUGUAAGCUAUCACUGAAGGAGGGGAUUGCGUCUGAUUAGCUAGUUGGAGGGGUAACGGCCCACCAAGGCGAUGAUCAGUAGCCGGUCUGAGAGGAUGAACGGCCACAUUGGGACUGAGACACGGCCCAGACUCCUACGGGAGGCAGCAGUGGGGAAUCUUCCGCAAUGGACGAAAGUCUGACGGAGCAACGCCGCGUGAGUGAUGACGGCCUUCGGGUUGUAAAGCUCUGUUAAUCGGGACGAAAGGCCUUCUUGCGAAUAGUUAGAAGGAUUGACGGUACCGGAAUAGAAAGCCACGGCUAACUACGUGCCAGCAGCCGCGGUAAUACGUAGGUGGCAAGCGUUGUCCGGAAUUAUUGGGCGUAAAGCGCGCGCAGGCGGAUAGGUCAGUCUGUCUUAAAAGUUCGGGGCUUAACCCCGUGAUGGGAUGGAAACUGCCAAUCUAGAGUAUCGGAGAGGAAAGUGGAAUUCCUAGUGUAGCGGUGAAAUGCGUAGAUAUUAGGAAGAACACCAGUGGCGAAGGCGACUUUCUGGACGAAAACUGACGCUGAGGCGCGAAAGCCAGGGGAGCGAACGGGAUUAGAUACCCCGGUAGUCCUGGCCGUAAACGAUGGGUACCAGGUGUAGGAGGUAUCGACCCCUUCUGUGCCGGAGUUAACGCAAUAAGUACCCCGCCUGGGGAGUACGACCGCAAGGUUGAAACUCAAAGGAAUUGACGGGGGCCCGCACAAGCGGUGGAGUAUGUGGUUUAAUUCGACGCAACGCGAAGAACCUUACCAGGUCUUGACAUUGAUGGAUAGAACCAGAGAUGGUUCCUCUUCUUCGGAAGCCAGAAAACAGGUGGUGCACGGUUGUCGUCAGCUCGUGUCGUGAGAUGUUGGGCUAAGUCCCGCAACGAGCGCAACCCCUAUCUUAUGUUGCCAGCACGUAAAGGUGGGAACUCAUGAGAGACUGCCGCAGACAAUGCGGAGGAAGGCGGGGAUGACGUCAAAUCAUCAUGCCCCUUAUGACCUGGGCUACACACGUACUACAAUGGGAGUUAAUAGACGGAAGCGAGAUCGCGAGAUGGAGCAAACCCGAGAAACACUCUCUCAGUUCGGAUCGUAGGCUGCAACUCGCCUACGUGAAGUCGGAAUCGCUAGUAAUCGCAGGUCAGCAUACUGCGGUGAAUACGUUCCCGGGCCUUGUAUACACCGCCCGUCACACCACGAAAGUCGGAAGUGCCCAAAGCCGGUGGGGUAACCUUCGGGAGCCAGCCGUCUAAGGUAAAGUC